GCAAAAGUUUCAUGGAAAGUUCUUAAAGCUUUAGGAUGUUAAAGGAUUGUAGUAGAUCAAGACAUGGAAGUUUGGUUGAAUAGGUUAGGUUGUUUGAAAUGUGACUUGCUUAAUGUUUGGGACUUUCGAAGGACAUGAUUUAUAAUACCGAUGUAAGCUAAUUUCUUUGGCCCGAACACAUUUUCACUACUACUUUCAUAUCAUUGUAAAACACUUGUUAUGUUGCUAAUAAUGCCACAUCUUUCAGUUAUGUCAUGGCAUCACUGAACUAGGGGCAUUUUUUGAACAAUUGAAAAGAGAGCUUCAAGCGUUGGAAGCGGCAAAUGUGCAUGUAAUUUUGGAGAACAAGCAUUAGUUAGUGAGGUAACUUUGGAUUUUAAGCAUUAACAUCCAGGUGUUUACCGUGUUUUGUGUUCUUCUCAUUGCCAUCACUUGUGAUCCAAUAAGAUAUUUUUGUUAAUUGAUUGUAGGUGUAAAUCAUCUGACAUCAUAUAUUGCUAUUUAAUGAUAGCUUUUCGAUUUUACUUAAAAGUAUAACACCUGAGGCUUUUUUAUGAUGAUUGCAUUUGGUUUGAAUUUCUUUCCUUUCAAGUUGACAGCAACAUGGGCUCUGAAUAAUUUAUUUAGGGAUUGUGCAGGUAGUACAGGGCCUUCAGAUUGCUAUCAAUUGUGUCGAGGACAUGGAUGAAUUGUUAGGCAUUUUCAAUGUAAAUCUUCAACAUAUGAGAGAGGACAUAAAAUCGGUAUGCAUAUACUACACUGUUAUCUCAAUUGAAAAGGUAUAGCCCUUGUUUGAGCCACAUUAUUUUAGAAAAAUGCAUUUUUUGAAUAGUGUAUUGAUGAGAAAUGUGUACUUAAAAAAUAGGAAAAGUUUUGGAUUUAUAUGUAAUAUUAUUUUAUUGAAGAAUGUGUGGUUGAAAUGAUGUCAAAUCAUUAUUUAAGAAUGUAUUUUUUCCAAAUAAUGUGAAUCAAACAGGGCCAUAUUCUUGUGAUGUCUUGUGAUUUUGCUCAUAUACAUCAUGUUAGUUAUAAAACUAUAUGCUGCAUGGUGUGUUCGUCUAAUUCCAAUUUUAGAUACACUAUUCAAUCUUCGAUUUUUUUUUUCGAGGUUUUAACAAAUCAUUCCCAAAAAACCAGGAGAUUUUGAAGAAAUUAGAGUUUGGUGACUGAUUUGUGAGAUUUCGUGAUGAAAGAGACCAACUGCAAGCCAUGGCUGAGAUGAAUGGAAGGUAUUUAUCGACGAGACCCAUAAGAAUUAACUCGGCUGCUAACAAACAGAAAGUGGGUGGUCAAACUAAAGUUAUGAUUUACCAUUCAUCCUUGUGGUACGAUA
rnacentral:lncRNA from 1 species